rnacentral:rRNA from 1 species
GACGAACGCUGGCGGCGUGCCUAACACAUGCAAGUGGAGCGACGAACCAGGCUUCGGCCUGGGGCAGAGCCGCGAACGGGUGAGUAACACGUGGGUAACCUGCCCUGAUGAUUGGGACAACCCGAGGAAACUCGGGCUAAUACCAAAUGUGCCCUCCGACCAUAAGGUCGCUGGGGAAAGGAAGCUUCGGCCUCCGCAUCGGGAUGGGCCCGCGGCCCAUUAGCUUGUUGGUGAGGUAAGGCUCACCAAGGCAACGAUGGGUAGCUGGUCUGAGAGGACGAUCAGCCACACUGGGACUGAGACACGGCCCAGACUCCUACGGGAGGCAGCAGUGGGGAAUCUUGCGCAAUGCGCGAAAGCGUGACGCAGCAACGCCGCGUGGGGGAAGAAGG